rnacentral:lncRNA from 1 species
UUUUAAAAAUAAAUUUAACUAAAAAUAUAAAUUAAUUAGGCUUCGAAUUUUGAAUCUCGAGUACUAAUCAUAAAGUUCUUUAUCAUCUGCAGCGUUACGUUGUGUAAACAUACCAUGUGAAACAACCGUUGUACUCUAAAAGCUAGAACGGUGUUUAAAUAUUUUUAUAUUUAACACUCCCCCUCACGUCUGGGCUCGAGACUUUUUAAUCGGCCCAUGACGUGGGCUUGAAUUAAAUGGGAGGAAAUUAAUAUGCUAGGAGCCUGGCGUGAUUCGAACUCAGGAUCUCCUACUCUGAUACCAUGUGAAACAACUGUUGUACCCAUGUGAAACCGUUGUACUCUAAAAGCUUAAGCUGUUAGAGAACGGUGUUUAAAUAUUUUUAUAUUUAACAUGUGAAAUAACCGUUGUACUCUAAAAGCUUAAGCUGUAGAGAACGGUGUUUUAAACAUUUUUUAUAUUUAACACUCCCCCUCACGUCUGGGCUCGAGACUUUUUUUAAUCGGCCCAUGACGUGGGCUUAAAUUAAAUAGGAGGAAAUUAAUAUGCUAGGAGCCUGACGUGACUCGAACUCAGGACUUCCUGCUCUGAUACCAUGUGAAGCAACCGUUGUACUCUAAAAACUUAAGCUGUUAGAGAACGAUGUUUAAACAUUUUUAUAUUUAACAUGUGAAACAACCGUUGUACUCUAAAAGCUUAAGCUGUUAGAGAACGGUGUUUUAAAUAUUUUUUAUAUUUAACACUCCCCCUCACGUCUGGACUCGAGACUUUUUUUAAUCGGUCCAUGACGUGGGCUUAAAUUAAAUGGGAGGAAAUUAAUAUGCUAGGAGCCUGACGUGACUCAAACUCAGG